rnacentral:tRNA from 1 species
GCGGAUGUAGUUCAAUGGUAGAACUUCAGCUUCCCAAGCUGACUACCUUGGUUCGAUUCCUAUUAUCCGCUCCA